GCCAAAUACAGCAAAAUCCAACAAUUUGGCGAGCCAGCCAGGAGAGACUGACAAGAAGAGAACUCACCAACUGCAACAAAAAGUGAACAGAGUUUUGGAGAUUCUACAGUUUUUGUGUUGAAGAUCAAUAGACUGCGUCUGUGGACAUAAGUUAUUUGAAUCAACUUGAUCCUGUCUCAAAGAUUCUAAUUUGGUGUCCCAGCGUUUCAGAGGAUGAACAAAGACAUCCAACACUUGGACCAAACUGCACUGGCCACCUAGAUGAACAUGCCUGAACAUCCACAGAACACAACAACAUCCGCCACUUCCACAAGAUCGCAACAUUCAA